CUACUGCAAUCAGUGGAUGAACACAUGCCAUGGUAGGAUGAGAAGUUUUAGGGUACUGGUUGAGCUGUGGCUCCAAUACCCAGAGUCUGAGGUGAUGGGACUCAUCGUUCUGGCUAGGAUGCCUUUGGAAAUAUGGGUGGUGAAGACUGCUUGUUUGCACCAACAAAAACCUGGUGCCAUUGGCACUGUAGAAUGAACACAACCCAAAAAUGAUAUGCCACUUGCUCUGCCCCAGCUGCCUCAGCCUUACCAAUGCUGGUCAUGUCUAAAGGUCAUUGUAUUGAGGAAGUUCCUGAACUUCCUUCGGUGGUUGAAGGUAAAGUUGAAGGCUACAAGAAGACCCAGGAGGCUGUUUUGCUGCAUAAGAAACUUAAAACCUGGAGUGAUAUCAAAAAGAUCUAUGCCUCUCAGCAAAUAAGAACUGGCAAGGACAAAAUGAGAAACCAUCAUCGUAUCUGACACAGGAUACCCUGCAUUGCCUGUAAUGAGGAUAAUGGUACCAUGAAGGCCUUCAGAAACAUCCCUGGAGUGACUCUGCAUUUAAUGUAAGAAAACUGAACAGUUUGAAACUUGCUCUUGGUGGGCAUGUGGGAUGUUUCUGCAUUGGACUGAAAGUGCUUUCUGGAAGUUAGAUGAAUUAUAUGGCACUAGGCAUAAAGCUGCUUCCCUCUAGAAAAUCUUCCCAUGCAUAAGAUAAGCAACACAGACCUUAGCAAAAUCUUGAAAAGCCUAGAGCUCCAAAGAGCCCUUCAAGCAGCAGGCAAGCAGAUUCAUUGCAGAGUCCCAAAGAAGCCAUGAAAAAUCUGAAACUCAUGUUGAAGCUAAACCCAUAUGCAAACACCAUGUGUCAGGACACCAUUCUUUGCCAGGCCAAGAAUCACAAGUCUGGGGGAUAAGGUAGCAGCAGCAGCACUAGCACUAGAGACUAAAUCACAUGAGAAGGGGUUGUAGGAAGACGCCUGUGGUAGGAAAGAGAGGAAAAAAAUGACAGUUGGUGUUAAGAAGCAGAGGAAACCUCUGGUGGGAAAAAAGGCAGCACUACCGAGAAAACAGCAGCUUAAAAGAAACCAGCAGAAAAGAAAGCUACCACAGAGGAAAAUAAUCCUGCUGCAUAA
rnacentral:lncRNA from 1 species